AACGAACGCUGGCGGCAUGCCUAACACAUGCAAGUCGAACGAGAUCUUCGGGUCUAGUGGCGCACGGGUGCGUAACGCGUGGGAAUCUGCCCUUUGGUUCGGAAUAACAGUUGGAAACGACUGCUAAUACCGGAUGAUGACGAAAGUCCAAAGAUUUAUCGCCAGAGGAUUAGCCCGCGUAGGAUCAGCUAGUUGGUGUGGUAAAGGCGCACCAAGGCGACGAUCCUUAGCUGGUCUGAGAGGAUGAUCAGCCACACUGGGACUGAGACACGGCCCAAGCUCCUAGGGGAGGCAGCAGUGGGGAAUAUUGGACAAUGGGCGAAGGCCUGAUCCAGCAAUGCCGCGUGAGUGAUGAAGGCCUUAGGGUUGUAAAGCUCUUCUACCCGGGAUGAUAAUGACAGUACCGGGAGAAUAAGCUCCGGCUAACUCCGUGCCAGCCGCCGCAGUAA
rnacentral:rRNA from 1 species